AUUGAACGCUGGCGGCAGGCCUAACACAUGCAAGUCGAACGGUAACAGGAAGCAGCUUGCUGCUUUGCUGACGAGUGGCGGACGGGUGAGUAAUGUCUGGGAAACUGCCCGAUGGAGGGGGAUAACUACUGGAAACGGUAGCUAAUACCGCAUACCGUCGCAAGACCAAAGAGGGGGACCUUAGGGCGUCUUGCCAUCGGAUGUGCCCAGAUGGGAUUAGCUAGUAGGUGGGGUAACGGCUCACCUAGGCGACGAUCCCUAGCUGGUCUGAGAGGAUGACCAGCCACACUGGAACUGAGACACGGUCCAGACUCCUACGGGAGGCAGCAGUGGGGAAUAUUGCACAAUGGGCGCAAGCCUGAUGCAGCCAUGCCGCGUGUAUGAAGAAGGCCUUCGGGUUGUAAAGUACUUUCAGCGGGGAGGAAGGGAGUAAAGUUAAUACCUGUGCUCAUUGACGUUACCCGCAGAAGAAGCACCGGCUAACUCCGUG
rnacentral:rRNA from 1 species